GAUGAACGCUGGCGGCGUGCUUAACACAUGCAAGUCGAACGAGAAGUGAAGACGGAAACCUUCGGGCGGAAGGCUUUAUUUCGAGUGGCGGACGGGUGAGUAACGCCUGGGUAACCUGCCUCAUACAGGGGGAUAACAGUUGGAAACGACUGUUAAUACCGCAUCAGACCACAGCACCGCAUGGUGCGGGGGUAAAAACUCCGGUGGUAUGAGAUGGACCCGCGUUCGAUUAGCCAGUUGGCGGGGUAACGGCCCACCAAAGCGACGAUCGAUAGCCGAUCUGAGAGGAUGACCGGCCACAUUGGGACUGAGACACGGCCCAAACUCCUACGGGAGGCAGCAGUGGGGAAUAUUGCACAAUGGGGGAAACCCUGAUGCAGCGGCGCCGCGUGAGUGAAGAAGUAUUUCGGUAUGUAAAGCUCUAUCAGCAGGGAAGAAAAUGACGGUACCUGAGGAAGAAGCCCCGGCUAACUACGUG
rnacentral:rRNA from 1 species